GAGAGUUAAAUAGUACGUGAAAUUGUUGAAAGGGAAACGAUUGAAGUCAGUCAUGCUAGCGAAAAAUCAGUUUGACGGGUUUUGAGUUCGGGAGUAGAGGCAGGGUCAAACCGUUUCUCUUUUGGACUUGGGAUUUGUCGGAUGUACUUUUUCUUUGGCAGGUCAGCGUCGGUUUCGGAGGUUGUAAAAUACUUGGGGGAAAGUAGCUCUGCUUCGGGAGAGUAUUAUAGACCCUGGGGGAUGCAGCCUGUGGGAUCGAGGAUUGCAGCAAAUGCCUUUGGCUUGUCGCCUGAUCUCUGGAUGUUACCUUGCUUGUGACAACAUUCUUGCCACCGGUGAGUACUGAUGCCCAUUAGGUUAGAACGAUCAAAAAUUUGCUAAGGAUGCUGACGUAAUGGCUUUAAACGA
rnacentral:rRNA from 1 species